rnacentral:misc_RNA from 1 species
GAUGAAGAACGCAGUGAAAUGCGAUAAGUAAUGCGAAUUGCAGAAUUCAGUGAAUCAUCGAAUCUUUGAACGCACAUUGCGCCCGCCAGUAUUCUGGCGGGCAUGCCUGUCUGAGCGUCGUUUCGACCCUCGCGCCCGGCUUCUGUCGGGGGCGGUGUUGGGGAUCGGCCACACCCUUCAGUGGGAGGCCGGCCCCUAAAUUCAGUGGCGACCACGCUGUAGCCUCCCCUGCGUAGUACUAAAAUCACCUCGCAGGCGGAGAGCGGUGCGGCCCGCCGUAAAACCCCCCAACUUUUACAAGGUCGACCUCAGAUCAGGUAGGAAUACCCGCUGAACUUAAGCAUAUCAAUAAGCGGAGGA